UACGUAGGUGACCAGCGUUGUCCGGAUUUACUGGGCGUAAAGAGCGCGCAGGCGGUCGUUCAAGUCGAGUGUGAAAGCCCCCGGCUCAACUGGGGAGGGUCACUUGAUACUGAUCGACUCGAAGGCAGGAGAGGGAAGCGGAAUUCCCGGUGUAGUGGUGAAAUGCGUAGAUAUCGGGAGGAACACCAGUGGCGAAGGCGGCUUCCUGGCCUGUUCUUGACGCUGAGGCGCGAAGGUCAGGGGAGCAAACGGG
rnacentral:rRNA from 1 species